CUUGCUACUAGCUGCUCCCAGGGUCCCAGUGAAGGCAGCAAGCCCUGGGACAAAAACUGACACAGGCUCAGGAGAAGGCAGAAGAGGUGGAGCACGUUAGAAGGAACAAGCCUAUGGGACCAUGUAGGCGCUUAUGAAGUUGCCAGUGCUGCUCUUCUGAAUGGAGACCUCGGGACUCUGGGGAGGAACAGUGAGUCAAAGGCAUCACCAACCACUGCCACUCCCACCCCCACCAACCUGAUGCUUGGAUCUGCACCUUUUUCAUGCCCUUCCCAAGCCUGCAUGGACUUUCCAUCAUCCUGUGAUGCCACCAAGUGAUCUACAGGGAACUGAUCACCUGUACCAGUUCUGAUGGCCAUGCAGACUCACAUGCAGGUCCCAGAAUGGACAUGAGGAGAGUGACGAGGAAGCUGGAAUAACUGUCUAGAAGGAGAGAGAGCCAGCUCUUCUCCUACUUAAGGACAGUAGCAAGACUGUCAGGUUGGGAACAUGUAUUGAAGGGAGGGUGAAUUAGACUUUCUGCUAGAUUAGCAACUUUGAGGACAAACCCAGUGUUUGGGUCUUGGCUACUGAAAUGGGA
rnacentral:lncRNA from 1 species